CUUCAGUCAUGAUUAAUACCAUGAAUUUCUCAACCUGACUAAUGCAAAAAACUUCAAACCUGCAGAACAAGUGGGUGCUAAUUGUUGUGAGAGCCAUUGGAGCUGCACUCUGCUUAUAAAGAAAGAAAGCCACAGGAAAUGAAGUGUUUUCUAGCAGCACAGCUGAUCCUAAGAGGCAUCAUUAAGUGCAGCUCAGCAGCAUUCUCCAUGUGUAGGGCUAUGGUAGCCUCUUUUUUUCCACAACACUGAGCUUUAAGUACAUUUGAAAGGCAGGAGAUUGCCAGGUUAUUUUUCUUUCCCUGGGGAGGAAAAGGAGAAAUAAAACAAAAGGCAGAGAAAACAGCAGUUUAAUAUCUCAUUAACACCACUCAAUACUAAAACUUUUAUAACUGAUAGAUGAAAAAUGACGGAUCCUAGCAAAAGCUGCUCACACCAAAGCCCCUUCACAUGUCUCCCUUGAAAUCUCAUCACAUCAUAAAAGGUAGCAUCAAGAGGUUACCCACCCAUUCAAGGAGAACUUGCUUCAGAGAGGGACAGGAAAACCAGAAGAUCAGGAAGGAUUGUCAGCUGGAAACAAUGAUCCUAUACUAUAAAUCAGUCUGUGGCUGAGAUCCUGGCACUUUCAAAUCACCGGUUGAUUUGCCACAGCCUGUGGUGGAGCAGGGUGUUUGCUCCUUUUCCUGUGCUGCACUUAGAGCAGCACAGGGCACACAGGAUUCACAGUCUAGCUGUGUGUACAGUGCUGUGCUGGUCAGGAAAACGAGCCCUUCACACCUGGAGCUGGCACCAUGCGUAUUUCUGAUAGGGGCAGACACCAAAAUCCAGCAAGGACACGAGCAGUGCAGCAGCUGUGCUUCAGUCUUGGGAGAUCUUCUAGAAACACCCACAACUCAAGAGUAAAAUUCUCACAGACUGCAAAUGCACUGCCUUGUCUACUAGAGGGCCACUCAGACCAGCAGAAAGCCCUCACUGCUUCGUUUUGGAGAAGGCAGGUCAGUGUCCUCGCUCAACUCCCUUGCAAGAAAGGCUUUUGGGUUUGGGUUGGUUUGGGGUUUUUUCAGCCCUUAAUUUGCUUUAUUGCUGGUGUUGUUAAAACUUUUCAUUCCUUUUCCUGAAGUGUGCCCGGCACUUGAUGAGCAAUCUGUU
rnacentral:lncRNA from 1 species